rnacentral:rRNA from 1 species
CAGUAGCCACGGUAAUACGUAGGUGGCAAGCGUUGUCCGGAAUUAUUGGGCGUAAAGGGCUCGCAGGCGGUUUCUUAAGUCUGAUGUGAAAGCCCCCGGCUCAACCGGAGAGGGUCAUUGGAAACUGGGAAACUUGAGUGCAGAAGAGGAGAGUGGAAUUCCACGUGUAGCGGUGAAAUGCGUAGAGAUGUGGAGGAACACCAGUGGCGAAGGCGACUCUCUGGUCUGUAACUGACGCUGAGGAGCGAAAGCGUGGGGAGCAAAUGGGAUUAGAUACCCCUGUAGUCCCUGUCUCUUAUAC